AUUGAACGCUGGCGGCAGGCCUAACACAUGCAAGUCGAACGGGAACAGGAAACAGCUUGCUGUGUCGCUGACGAGUGGCGGACGGGUGAGUAAUGUCUGGGAAACUGCCUGAUGGAGGGGGAUAACUACUGGAAACGGUAUCUAAUACCGCAUAACGUCGCAAGACCAAAGAGGGGGACCCUCGGGCCUCUUGCCAUCGGAUGUGCCCAGAUGGGAUUAGCUUGUUGGUGGGGUAACGGCUCACCAAGGCGACGAUCCCUAGCUGGGCUGAGAGGAUGACCAGCCACACUGUAAGUGAGACACGUUCCAGACUCCUACGGGAAGAAGCAGUGGGGAAUAUUGCACGAUGGGCGCAAGCCUGAUGUAGCCAUGCCGCGUGUAUGAAGAAGGCCUUCGGGUUGUAAAGUACUUUCAGCGGGGAGGAAGGGAGUAAAGUUAAUACCUUUGCUCAUUGACGUUACCCGCAGAAGAAGCACCGGCUAACUCCGUG
rnacentral:rRNA from 1 species